rnacentral:lncRNA from 1 species
CAAACAUGGAAAACUUGGAAUUCGCAAUUGUGACCCCCCCAUCAACAAAAAGGUUGUGUCCAUGAACACACUUCGACUCAUCACUAGCCAAGAACAGAACAGCUUCAGCCACAUCCUCUGGCUUAAGUAGAACACCUUUGAGGAUAGAAUAUACAUUGCCGAAUCCCUCAUCAUCCAUUUUGUAGAAAUCCUUCGACUGUCGUGUAGGAACUACGUGUGGUGACACACAAUUUACGCGAAUACCAUAUUUUCCAAGCUCCACAGCCAAAUUCUUCGUGAGUCCUACCACCCCAUGUUUUGAACUUACAUAAUUGUGUGAAGAACCACCGCCUAUUUUCGAACAAGUACUCGCUGUCGUGAUUAUGUUCCCACUGCGAUUCGGGAUCAUUACCCGAGCAGCGUGUUUAGCACCCAAGAACGCACCUACAAGGUUUACAUUAAUAAUCUUUUCGAACUCUGAUUUUUCGAUUUCAAGAAUGCUUGGAUUUGGUAUCCCCCCAAUACCAGCAUUAUUGUGCAGAAUGUCUAAUUUCCCAAAUUUGGCAACAGCCGUGUCAACUGCAGUUUCUACAUCGGAUUCUUUAGUUACAUCACAGUGGACAAAAGAGGCUGAUGAUUUUCCCAAUUCCUUGCAUACUUUCUCUCCCAAUUCAUCAUUGACGUCUGCAACCAGAACUUUAGCACCAUGUUUGGCGAACAGUCUGGCAGUCGCCUCGCCGAUUCCAGUAGCAGCACCGGUGAUUAAUGCUACCUUCCCUUCCAGCCUAGGUUCAUACAUUUUGUUAGUACAAUAUUCAUAGUCAACCCAACUAUCAAAAUAACAUGCCUUGUACUUUGAGAAAGAAACCUCAAGAAUUAAUAGUUUAUCAGAAUGCAGUAUCAUGAAAAAUUAAAGAGUAAUACCUUCUAAUCAAAGUUGAAGCCAUUGAUGAACUUCCCACAGAGCUUCUUUGCUGCGAAUGUGAAUUGGUGUUUCUCUGCACUUUUAAACGUCUUUUAUAAUGCUAAUCGUAGAGAUAAUAAAGACGUUCACACGCAAGUUGGCAUUUAUUUUUAACUAAUCUGAUUUUCUAGAGGACUAUUCUCUCUUUCGAAGUAAUUUCCAACUCAAUUAGGCAUUUAUUUCUUAAUAAACUCCUGAUUUUUAGGAUAAUUGUUAUCUCUUUCCUUGUCAUAUCCAACGCAAUUAGUCAUUUUUUCCUAACUAAUCUGAUUUUUCAGACAGUCAUUGUCAACGCAAGCAGGCAUUUAUUUCUGACUAGUCUUAUUUUUCAGAUAAUUGUUAUCUGUUCCCACGUCAUUUCCAACGCAAGAUCUGAUUUUACAGAUAAUUAUUAUCUGUUUCCACGUCAUUUCCACGUACUUGUGUCCACGAUGAUUGAAUUAUUGCAAUACUUCAAAUAAUUUUCACGCGGCCUUCUCGAAAAUAGAAUUAAUUCACUUCUUAACAUUAUCAGUCUCAUUAAAGUUUAUAAGGUUGAAUGAUAGCACACUAAUUUACUUUAUUUUGUUUGACCUAAAUAUUUAAGUAUUGUAGAAGAUAAAAGAAAUCAAUAUUGGAAUUAUUUUGUAACUUACAUUAAAGGAAAAAAUAUGUAAAUACAACACUUUAAGUAUACAAUUUCACAUUUAACAAAUUCAUAAAAAUGUUUUAUAAAUCAAGUGCUAAAUGAUAAUAUUAUAUACAUUAUUGAAGCUGAAAUUUAGGGACUAUAGUUUAAAUUAGAAAUAUUUGAUAAACAUUAUCACAACAUAGUAAGUAGCAUUAUACUCCCUCCGCCCCAUUUAUAUAGGCUGAUUUUUUUAUUUUUUAUUUUUUUUUGGGUUCCAAUUAUAGUCCAGUUUCUUUAUUGAGAAUAUUUUGUUUUGUUUGUUUACUAAUAUACCCACAUUUAAUUUGCUUAGUUAUAACCAAAAUUUCUCAUUUAAUCUUGAAAUUGUACAAACAUAAAUAAGGGCAAUCUAGAAUUUUUUUUUUAAUAACAUUAAAUAAGUUUUCUUAAUUCCUAUGAAAAACAAAACCAUCGUAUAUAAAUAAGACGGAGGGAAUAUAUCGUUAAUAUAUAACAGAGUCUCUCACCUUGCAUUCUCUCUCUCCUCGCAUUUUCUCCCCCUUACAAUAAAUAACUCAUGACUCACCAAAAAUCUUCUACACCUCACUCUUUCAUUCUCUAUGUUAGCUUACGCAUUUUUGUAUAAUGCUAUUUGUACAUAAUAAUUUACAUAAACAUGAUGUGAUGAAAUAAAUUGAGUCAAAAUUUCUUCAAUAAAAAAAAUUCACUCACUUUUUGACACAUCAUCUGUAUGCAACUUAUUAUGUAACUCUAUUAAAUACAAGUAGCAUUUUUUUUUUUAAUUUGGUUGAAAAAAUUAUGAUCCAAUCAUAACUCAUUAUAUUAUGUGUAUGUAAAUUAUUAUGUAUAUGUAGCACAAUCACAAUUUUUUUUUUAUCUCUCUACUAUAUAUUAUUAAAUAGACUACAUAUACAUAAUGGUUUACAUACACAUGAUUUUGGUGAAAUAUACAAGUAACAUUAUUUUUUUCUUUUUAUUUGGUUGAAGAAAUUAUGACAUGAUCAUAACUCACUAUAUCGUGUGUAUGUAAAUCAUUAUAUAUAUGUAGCACAAUCGCACUUUUUCCUCUCUCUACUAUAUUUUAUUCAAUGGGUUACGCUACGUGUACAUAUUGAUUUAUAUAGAAAUGAUGUAGUGAGAUAUGAUAAGGUUAGAAUUUUUUCAACAAAAAAAAAUUUGUCUCUUUUUACACAUCAUCUGUAUGUAAACCAUUAUAUAACUCUAUUAUAUACAAUUAACAUUAUUCUUUUAUGCCCCCAGGGCAUAUCUCCCAGUGGCAAAUGGGAGGGCGGAUAGGGCUCAGCGCGGCAGUGUGCAGAGUUUGAUUCCCCGCAAGGUGGAAUUGGCUUUGUUGCAAGCGGGAGUUACCAUAUGGGUUAACAGCCUUGACCUAUCCAUGUGCUCUCCACCCUGGCUCCUGGGAGGCACAUCCUGCGAUUUACCUCCCCCACGAUGGCCCAGGGCAGGGUCGGUGGGGGCCCUUAAGGUUGGGGUUCAACCUUUUAACAUUAUUCUUUUCUUUAUUUGGUUGAAGAAAUUAUGACCCAAUUAUAACUCACUAUACCAUGUUUAUGUAAAUUAGUAUGUACAUGUAGCAAAAUCGCACUCUUUUUUUCCUCUCUAUUAUGUAUUAUUUAAUGGGUUGUGCUACAUGUAAAGAAUGGUUUACAUAAACAUGAUGUUGUGAGAUAUAAUUAAUUCAUUAUUUCUUUAACCCAAAAAAAGUAAAUAAAUAAAUAAAUUCUCCACUCUCUUUUUGACACCUUAUUAGUAUGUAAGUUCAGCCUCAAUUUGGGAUUCAUUCACCUCUACAGGUUCAAGAACAAGUUUAGUUUGCUGAUGAACAAGAUUAUUAUUAUCAUCUUCAGUUCAGCCUCAAUUUGGGUUUCAUUCACCUCUACAGGUCCUGGAGUAGAUUUAGUUUGCUGAUGAACAGGAUUAUUACUAUCAUCUUCAGGUUGAGGUAAGUCAAAUUUAGCUAACUUCAUCUCACUUUGAACUGUCCUGUCAUUUUCAAAUUUAUUUAUCUUACUAAAUUCUUAUUUUAGACAUGACAUUUCAAAUUCAUUGAAGACUAUAUGUCUACUAUUGAUGAUCUUAAUGCCCGGGACACCAAAAACCCAUAACAUGUAUUUUUUCACACUUUCUAGGUAACCUAGUGAUAAGUGUAUUUUAUACACUUAUUCGGGACUCUAAAAUAACGAUAUUUGAUAGUUCUUUGGCAAAAUACAUUCUAAAUUGUUGUCUUUUACGUUUAACAGGUGAAAAUCUACGAUUGAAAAGGAAGUGAAGGAGAGAAGCAAAAACGAGCGGAAAUAGCAAAAUCCAAAGUACAUGAAUUAAAUUGGCCAUUGGAUGCAAUUUUUGGGAAUCAAAGUCUAACUAUAAAAAUUGGACUGAUUUGCAUCGCUUUGAAAAUUGAGUACUUGGAGAAAAAUAAUCUACUAAGUGGGCUCAAUUGGACUUGCUUUGAAAUUCAAAUUGAAGAUUUACUAGGACGGUUGGACCUCUAAUUGGACUAGAAGAGCUGCUAGGUUGCAUUGCAUCGUAGGAUUCAUAUAUAUACACACAGAAAAUCCAAAGAGCCGGGGGGAGCAGCCUGGGAAAUAAUAUACAUUGGCAGCUACAAGAAUUAGGGAGACAGAAAAAAAAACAAGAGGCAGGUCGGCAUCUUUGGGAGGAGAAUUCUGCCAUCAAAGAUAUAAACACAAGUGCCGACUGCUAGGGGAUAGAGUGGAGAAAAAUCUGUGCUUUACUGGAGUGAGAAACACGCACAUAAAACGAAGGAAGAGGGGAUAGAUACAAGUUGCUGGCGGCAAGGAAGAAUUGGAGAAGAAAGAAGCAGCCAAUUAAUAUUUAGACUCACGCACAAAGAAAACGUCACCAGCUAGGAGGAACAAUAAUUAUAUACACGCAGUUGCAAUAUUAUAUAUUUACACAAACAUUGGGCGGUGACGUGAAGGAUUGUUCGGCACAAACACGGAAGUAGAUAUAUACACAUACGCCCACAGAUUCAUAAGGGUUGUUGCCGGCUGGUUUCAUUAAAAAAUUAUACACACGGGAAGACACUUUGGCAGAAAACAUAAAACACAUACACGCAUAGCAAAGACCAGAUUUGGAGAUUGAAUUGAAGGCUGUUUUUGGAGGGUUGCUUUUGGCUGAAAUAUAACACAUUGGCAUGAGCUUUUUGGGAAGAAAAAGAUACAAAAAGGAGGCAACCCAUUGGAAUAAAAAGAGAAAGACGGAGAUUUACUUUGGAAAUUAUUCACGUUUCGUUAAUUUCUCGGUGACGUUCUUCCAAUUUUAUGUGUUUAAUUUCAACAUCAUGUUAGGCUAAUUUUUCUCAUGUAUUGGAUGACGAUAAAAUUCGUUAUUAUUUAUUUUUAAUUCAAGACAUGUGGUUUAGUUAAAUUCUUGCAAUUAUUGAUUAAUCUUGCAUGCUUACUUUUAUUAUUUGAUUGUCUGAUCACCAAUUAAAUAUAUAGUUACUUAUUGUAGUGUUGGGAGGUUCACAAUAAGUUUAGAACAUUGCAUGAUUAACAUAUGUACAAUAAAUUUUAGGAAUAAGAUUUAUAACGUGUGCAAUCUUUGAGAUAAUUGUGAAAUUGAAUACAUUUUAUUCAUAUGAAUUCAGACUAGGAAUAAGAUUUAUCACGUGUGCAAUCUUUGAGAUAAUUGUGAAAUUGAAUACAUUUUAUUCAUAUGAAUUCAGACUAGGAAUAAAAUCGGAUCGUGAAUAGGAUAGAUUUAAUUUGUCUUGGAAAGGAAAAUUAAUUACAAUAAAAUUAUCGAUUGUCAAGAAUGCAAGAGCGAAACUAGCUACGUAAUCGAGAAUUGGAAUAGAUAAUAAUAAGUGGAUUCGUAAUCCAACACAUUCUUCCCAUAUACAUUUUAAAUUCGCAUUUUAUACAUUUUCAUAGAUUUCACAAAAAUCACUUUUAAUUUGUUCGCUUUGAAUCUAAUUAAGAACUAAUACACUAAGUUAAAUUUUAUUCCUCGUGGGACGAUACUCUAACUCACUAAAUCUAUUACUUGUACAACGAACCCAUACGUUUGCGAAAUUCACACGAACACCUAGCAUCAGACAUUUGAUGGUCCUAAGUUCAAGUUUCCCUUCAAAUUGAUGUGCAUAUGCAGUACAUCUAAAAACUCUUAUAUGGGUUAAGUUUAGGGGCUCCCCUAUCCACAAUUUUUAUGGAGUUUUAAAGCUUAUACUGCUAGAGGGAGACUUGUUUAUCAAGUAAGCUGUUGUACAAGUAGCUUUAGCCCAAAAACCUUUGGCCAAGCCAAAACUGAUAAGCAUGAAUCUAUAUUUAUUCAUUAUGGCCAAGUUCAUUCUCUCAACAACCCCAUUUUGUUGAGGCAUGUAUUUUAUAGUCCUAUAUCUCAUUAUUUACAAAAAUUAUCAAAUUCUACAUUACAAAAUUCAAGCUCAUUAUCAGUUCUUAGUGUUUUUAAUUUUUCUCUAACUAAUUUUCAACAGCUUUGAGCCAAGUUCUAAACUUGUGAAAGGUUUCAGACUUAGCCUAUAAAGGGUAAAUACAAACCUUCCUAGAAAAAUCAUUUAUAAGGGAUAGAAAGUAAUUAUACCAAAUGUAGAAUGCUUCUCAAGACACCAAAGUUCACCAUGUAUAUAGUCCAAGGACCUAUUAGUUCUAUGUGAGAUAGACUCAAAACUCACCUUGUCAGACUUAUCCAAUACAUAAGUCUCACAAAAGUCCACAGUCUCAAUAACAUCUUUUUCAAGUAAUUUUUGAUUACUUAAAGAUUUUAAUCUUUAUUUCCAAUAUGACCCAUUCUAUUGUGCCAAAGUUCAGAUUUAUUUUCAUUUACAGUUAGUAGACUUGGAUUAGGUGCUAUAACUGUUUUGCUUUCUAGAUAAUAUAGACCAUUUCUUUUAGGUCCUUUCAUUACAAUUAAAGAGGCCCUCAUAAUUUUCAAAGUUUUAUUAUCAGAUUUGAAGGUAUAUCCCUCAUCUUCAAGGAACUCUAAUGAAAUAAAGUUCCUUUUCAAAUUCGGGAUAUAUUUCACAUUCUUGAUUGGCCUGACAAUGCCAUCAAACAUUUCGAUAGCAAUAUCACCAGUUCCAUUCAUACUCUGAGAAUUAUUAUCUCCCAGAUACACAUUUCCAAGUUCUAUUUCCUUAUAAUUAUAAAACCAUGAUCUUUCAGGGCACAUAUGACAACUGUAUCCAAUAUCUAGAAUCCAAUCUUUAUUAGGUUCUUCAUUUGACACGUUUAGUAUAUGUAAGCUAUCUAAUUCAGAUAAAUGCAAAAUUAUAGAACAAUAGGCAAUUUCAUUCAUCUCUUCAAUUUCAGCAGUUUUUGCUUUUAACUCAUAGAAAAUGUUUCAAGAUCAUCAAGAACCUUUACAACCCUUUUUGGACUAAGUUGGCCCUCAUUUUCUGCUUCCGUAUAGGAUAGUCCCCCUUUCUAUUGAAUUGAGACAAUUUGACUUUCAAACCCAUUAUGGAUUCCGUUACAUAAUUAAAACUAAGAAUAUAGAAGCAACAAAUUUAGAUUUAGAAGAUUUUAAAAUAUAUAUAAAAGAACUCUUGGAAUUAGGAGUAAUUAGAAAAUCAAAUAGCCCUCAUAGAUCAGCAGCCUUUAUAGUUAGAAAACAUUCAGAAAUUAUUAGAGGAAAAAGUAGAAUGGUCAUUAAUUAUAAAAGAUUUAAUGAUAAUACUAUAGAUGAUGCUUAUAAUAUACCAGAUAAGACAGUUUUAAUAAAUAAAAUACAAGAUUGUAAAAUUUUUAGUAAAUUUGAUUUAAAGCCAGGAUUUUGACAAGUAAAAAUGCAUCCAGAAAGUAUUAAGUGGACAUCUUUUACCUGCCCAGAAGGACAUUUUGAAUGGCUCAUAAUGCCAUUUGAAAUUAAGAAUGCACCAAGUAUUUUUCAAAGAAAAAUGGAAAGUAUUUUUAAUAGACAUAGUAAGUUUGUAAUAGUAUACAUAGACGAUAUUUUAGUAUUUAGUAAAAAUAAACAAGAACAUAGAGGACAUUUACAAAUAGUAUUUUCAGAAUUUAUUAAACAUGGUCUAUUAAUUAGUAAAAAGAAAAUGAUUUUAUUUAAAGAAUUUAUAGAUUUUCUAGGAGUUAAUAUAGGAGAAGGAAAAAUUGAGUUAUAACCCCAUAUUGCUAAAAAAGCAUUAGAAUUUCCAGAUAAAUUAGAAGACCUAAAACAAAUCCAAAAAUUUUUAGGAUUAGUAAAUUAUGCUAGACCAUUUAUAAAAGAUCUGGGAAAAAUAGUAGGACCCUUAUAUGCUAAGACAUCUCCUACAGGAUAAAGAUUUUUUAAUCAAGAAGACAUAAAACUAGUGCAACAAAUAAAAGAAAAAAUAAAAACUUUACCAGAACUAGCUAUGCCACUAGAUUCAGAAUACUUAAUCAUAGAAACAGAUGGAAGUAUGAUAGGAUGGGGAGUUAUACUAAUAUGCAAACCCAAUAAAUAUACUGAUAAAAGUACAUAAAAAAUUUGUAGGUACAAUAGUGAAAAUUAUAAAGAGAAAGGAAACUUAAGUAGUAUAGAUGCAGAAUUAUUAGCUAUAAAUUAUGCAUUAGACAGUUUUGAACUAUUUAUUAUAUCUAAGAAAUAAAUAACUAUAAGAACAGACUGUAUAGCUAUAGUUUCCUUUGUCAAUAAAAUGAAAAUAGAUUCAAAAAGAAGUAGUAGAAGAAGGUGGUUAAAUUUUAUAGAUAGAAUUACAAAUACAAGAAUUAAUAUAGAAUUUGAGCAUAUUAAAGGUAGUGAUAAUAAAGCAGCAGAUAUACUAAGUAGAAUAAUAAUAGAUAGAAAUUAUUAAAUUUGCUUAACAUAAUUUUGUUAUACAAAUGAUAAGACCAAGGCCUAUAAGACCAGGAAUUCCACCUGGGAAUUCAUUUGCAUCAAGACUAUUACCACAGACUCCAUUUAAUCAGAACAGACCAAUGUUACAAGACAGAUUAAGGUUUGAAAACCAAGAACUUAUAGUGUUUCCCAAUAGUAAUAUUUCUUUUAAAAUUUUACCGCAUAUUUCUUUAUCUAGAGAAGAGAAAUGUAUUUUAGACAAUUUAUGGAUUUCUUAUAAUAAGAAUCCAAAAGACCAAAUAUAUUUUCUUGCAUGCAUGAAUGCAUUGUCAGAACACUUUUGUCAGAACAAGCAAAGGUUUAAAUUCUAUGUUGUUAUUAAAGGAAGAACUCCAGGAAUUUUCCAUUCUUGGAUAGAAGUUUUAGACUGUAUUAAAAAUUUUCCAGACCCUCUUUACAAAGGUUUUACAAAUUUUCAAGAAGCAUUAGAUGUUGCAAGACAACAGUUAGGAAUAAAUUUUUAUUUAUCUCCUUCUUUAAAGAACUACUCAGACCCUCCAUUAGACUUUUCUCCAAGUAAAGACCAGAAUAUUUUUUGUCAACACUGUGAGUGUAUGCAGAGAAACUACAAAGUUAUUAAUGAAGCCAACCAGAACCUUUCAAUAGAAAGAACCCAACUCCAAAAGAAAGUGGCCCAACUAGAAAAAGAGAUUUUGGAUUUAAAAGUCCAUUAUCCAACAGGUACUAUGGAGCCCAAGAAGUCCAUAGCUAGUCCAGCCCAAACGGUAGCUGGUAAAGACUUAUCAAAUCCGUUGAAGGUUGUGGACUUACCAAAAGCCCAACAGAUUCAGGGGACUGUUGAUUCCUCUACUAAAUUAGAUAAUCAGACUUAGCAGACUGAUAAAUCUACUACAGAAAAAGGUAAAUAAAUUUGGGAUCUUUUAGGAUAGCUCAGCAAAAAAUUUGAUUACUUAGUUAAAUACAGCCCACCAGAUCAUUUUUCACCAGAAUAUUUUUCAAAUAAUCCAGAAUUUUCACAAGCCCAAGAAAUUCAGUUCAGUAAGGGAAAAGAAAAAAUGGUAGCUCAAGAUAGCCAAGACUGUUUAUUCCUUCAAGAAUCACAAGAUCCUAAUCCAGAUACUGUUUCUUUAGAAAAGAUUUUUGAAAAAAUUGAAGAAUUUCAGAAGCAAUCCAAAAAAGACGAAAGAAUUUGAACAAUUAAUUAACAUGGGUAGUAAUCCAUAUAAUUUUGUUAGUAAAAUACAGAUAUUAAUAACAGGAGCAGACCCAAAUUCAGGACAUAUGAGUAUACAAAGAAAAGUUAUGAGAGAUUUAGAACAACUUAGCUUUUAUAUAUGGACUAAAGGAAGAUAUGUUAAGAACUUUUUAAAUGAAUAUCAUUAUUUAACUUCAAUAUUAGGAAAUACAUUUAAUCAAGAAAUUGGUAAAAAAUUGUUUCAUAAAUUACCAGGACCAUUAGGAUUAGAAAUCACAGAUAAAUGGAAUAAUUUACCAGCAGUAAAUAUGUAUGUAAUAGUAAUGAACAUUUAUCCAAGACUUGUCCAAAAAGAAUAAAUAAUUAUGAUAAGAAAAACACAUUAAUAGAAUGUACUAAUGAAGAUAUAAUACAAUUAGAUGAAUAUAUCUCAGAUAAAGAAUCUAUUUAUAGCAUUAUAUCAAUAGAAGAUAAAAAUUUAGAAGAAAAUAAAGAAUUUGAUUAUGAAAUAAUAGAUGAAUUCUAUAUAUAUAUAUAUUAAAAACUUUCAGUUAAAUAUAUUAGGGUACAUGUAUAAUGCUCAAAUAGCAAUUGCAGGCUAAUAACAUAGAUAUAUGUAUAUCAAUAGUUCAAAAGAAUUAGAGUAACAUAUAUCUUAUACAGAAAAAUAUCGAACCGAAUUUACAGAGGGAGAUUCAGAAAGAUCUUAUCAAUACUGCUUAAACAGUAUUAUUGAUAUAAUGCCUUAAAUCAAGCCAACAACUAGAGACUUCAAUUAAGCGACCUUCCAUCUCAAAAACAAAUAGAUCAAUGAAUGGUGUAUUGCCUAAAUUUAUCAUAGUUUAAAGACAAGAUACCAAAAAUAAGCUAUUUGUGUAGAUCGUUUCCGAUCUAUGUAGAUUCGAAGAACCGGUGUACCCUAAGGAGGUAUAUUCCGUAAGAGACACAAAACCCAUGGACCUUGAAUGCUCCGAUACUAGUUUUGUUGGGUAUUUGCGGUUGAUUUGUGUAUUGAAUCAAAGCACAAAACAUCACACACAAUAAAAACAAAAAGACAAACACAAGAUCACCAAGAAAUGUAGACCCAAUUCAACCAAUAGACCUAAUCUCAGGGGCUCAGGGAUAACCUAUUCCACUAGUGCAUAAUCUACCUUCCAAGAAAGCAAGAUUACAUAAAGAACCACUCGGACAAGGUUUUAGUCAUAGAUCAAACAGAUCCUGUAAAACUAGUAAACUGACCCAAAAUAAACCAACCAAAAAUAUAUGGAGUUAGUCUAUACAAGAACAACCACUCUCUCAGGCCUGAUCGUAUAUACAUGCUACAAGCUCCAUUUGGAUCAAUUGCAAAAACCUCAAAUACUAGAGAAGAAUUUUUUAGCGUAAAGACAAAAGAGAAAACCAAGGGAAGAGAGAAAAUCGAAACAUCUGGAAUGACCCAAAGUCUUUUGACCUAGACCACUAAAGAGACACUUUGGAUUCCAAGGUAAAAUCUCAGCCCUUGAUCGAAUCUAACGGCUCGGAAAGAGCUUUAACUAGCACAAUCCGUGUGCACACCAAAUGGCCAAUGUCUCUUGACCUAGACCACUAAAGAGACGCUUUGGAUUCCAAGGUAAAAUCUCAGCCCUUGGUCGUAUCUAACGGCUCAGAAAGAGCUUUAACUAGCACAAUCCGUGUGCACACCAAAUGGCCAACAGAUGGAUGCGACUUAAGCAGGGAUAUCUAACUAGGCAGCAAGGACAAAAUGACACAAAUAGCACUCUUUUUAAAGUGUUUUGAGAAACACGAUUUUUCACAAGUUGGAUGAAUUCUGAUUGUUGAAACCCAUAAAAAAUAGUAUAAUUAAGAGCACUGUAAAGAAAAUGGACGGUUCAAAAUAUUACCUUCCAAAGACCAGUUUCAAGUACAUACUUCUGUGCAAUUUCCUUUGCAGAAGACUUAUUCUUGAUUUGCUCCCUUUUUUCCUUCACAGCUCUGACCAUGAACCUGUUGAAACUGAACUUGGAACUCGAAAUUGAGGCAUCAAACCUACUUAAUUUUCCAUUAUCGAGCAAAAUUGAAGAAAAGAUAGGCUUAUUGUUCAAGUGUUGAGAAAAGAGUUGCAGAAAUGUGGCUAUUGUGUGUGAGGAGAGAGAGAGAAUUUGAUAUUUCGGAAGAGAUCUACUACAGGAACAGGAUGAAUGACAAGAUUUUAUACAGGUAUAUACUUGACAAAAUUUCGUUGGAAGUUAAAAUAAAAAGGAAAAAGAAAAUCUGACAAUCAAAAACUACUAUUUCAACACUUGAAAACGGCCCUUGUUAAUUUGCAAUUAACCCUAUGCAACUAGUUUAAUCCAUUUCGGAGCCAUGGAGGGGCUUGAAAAUAAAAUUCUCAGAUGGAAAGAGUGACAAAUAACUCGAUUCUACCCUUUUGCUUUCCAAGGCACAAUUUACAUUUAUCUUAAAACCCUCAAAAUUUUGUUAUUCUUAGAAAAUCACCGUAAACAUCUUUAUUAGGGAAUUUGGCGCAAAUGUUCCCAACUUCACCUUUAGUGUGCAAAUGGUCCCUAACAUUUAUUUCAUGGCUUGAACAUCUCUAUCUCAAACUAAUGUCUCGGUUCGCAAUUGAUCAUAUUUUAAUAAGAAAAAGAUCAAUAUGUCCUUUAUUUAAAUUAGGAAAAAUAAAAUUUGUAGCUAGGUCCCUAGCCAUUGGAAAAAAUUACAAAGCCCCAAAUCUUUUAUUUAAUAAUAUUGAUUUUUAACAUACUAAAUAUAUAAUUAUAGUUGUCCCAAUUAAAUUUUCCAAAAAGAAAGAAAAAGUUAAAUUAUAUGUCAUGAAAAACUUGAAUAAAAUUAAGAUAAAUGAAAAACAAAAUGACUUAGAUAAUUUUAGGACAUUCAACCAAUAUCAUUGAUAAUUAUAUAUGAACCAAUACUAGUCAAAUAACAUUCAACUCAUAAGUCAAGUAUAUUUUUUUCAAAGCUUGGUGUUUGAUCAGUGUAAAUACGACACUUAUCUCGACUUUUUACGAGGCUUUUAUUAGUGUUUCGAAUUCAAUUCUAUUGAUUUUUUUUCCUAUAAAAUGAACCCCAAACUUUUCAUGACAUCGUUAGUGAAAUUGAUAAAAGAGAUUAAAAAGCAAGUUCACAUGAAACUGGAACAAAAAGGAAAAGGGGAAAAGAAAGAUAAAUCAACUGGAACUGAAUACGCGAAAAUACUUGGAGAAAUUAGAGUACCAAGCUCAGUUAGGAGUCCAACACAUUCAAAAUUAUGUACCACAAAUCAUUUUCAUUUUCGUCUAGACUGCCACACUAGGCACACUCUUGCACUUCAGUUCCCUAUUUUCAACCCCAAAAAUAUCUAUGAUGGAAGCCUUAGGGUCUUUUAGGUCAUUUGAUACAUGGUUUUGCGCCUUAAUUUUCAGUUUGAAUAUACUAUAAUCCAUCUACUUCAUAAGGGAGCUUGUAGGAGACACAAAUUCAGACCUAGGGUUCGGUGAAUUGAAGAACAAGGAUUGGGGAUUUUGAAGUUCUGGCUCAACGAUUCUAUUUGGUUAUGUCAAGCUAAACUCUUAUUUGUUUGAUUACUUUGAAUAUGUAGCUAAAUUUUCAUUUGCUAGGAUGGUGAUGUAAAUCACUCUUGUGAAAAUUUAAUCUAAUUUUUCAUUUUGAACUUCAAAUGUGAAUAGUGAUUGAUUACUUGUUAUUGAUUUUAUUACAUUCAAUUAUUUAGCCACCAGUUGAACUAUUUAUGGACUGUAUUGAUAUCGAGGGGUGAUAUUCAUGUUUAAAUCAAAUAUUUAACAAGUGCACGAUUACUAAAAAAAUAAAACGUAACAUAAAUCUGGAGAGCAAAAAUAGAUUUUAACUUUAUUUGAGAGAAACAGUUAAAUAAUUUAGGGAUAUUGUCUUCAACAUAAACAAGUAUUAUCAAUUAUGUGAUUGGUUGAAUUAAAGUAGAUAAGUAUACAGGUAAAAUCAAAGUUAUAUUUGAAACUUCUUCAAAGUUCAUAAAGUAUUUUUAGCUUAACUUUAAGUAAUUUUUUUAGUUAAAAUCAAAAUUCAAUUAAAACUUGGUAUAAAACUAUUUAGUUUGAUAUAUAACUAAAUAUAAGUUUUAAUGGAAUCAACACUCUAUUUGCUCUUGAUUACUUGUCCACAAUACCGUGCACUUACAAUUUUUAAGUGACAAAUGACAAAUGUGUCACAUAUUACUAAACUAAAAGACAGUUGAGAAUCGAGAAUUUUAAAUUACUAAGAAUUUUUCAAGGACAAUACAACUAAAAGACCAUUGCAAGAUGUCCUUUUUAGUAAAUGAGCACUUCUUGUGAAAAUUAGCAAAAUGAGUACUUUUAAAUGAAACUACUGAAAAUACCCCUAAUGUUAUAUUUUUAUUUUUAUUUUCAUAAAAUUCAACCAUUACUUGAUAGGUGCACAACUUUUGAGGCAAAUCUUGAAAGUCGGCAAAAAAAGUUUCAUUCUAGGAGAUCUUUUGGUAGCAAGCUGAUAAUUCGACUAAUUAAGAUAGUUAAAACUAUUUUCCAUUUUUUGAGUUGGUUAGAGUUGUUUUCUAAGAUAGUUGGAAUUAGGCCUGUGCAAUUUAACAGGAAUCGAAUCUUUCGAAUCGAAUUUGAAGGUUCCGAUUUGAUUCUCAAAAAAAAAAAAUUUGGAACCAAAAUCGAGAAUCAAUAAUCAACUAGAUUCUGUUCGAUUCUUGGCUCUUGAACUAGAACCGUGGGUACGUAAAUGGAACUGAUUUUUAUAUAAUUUUUUGUUUAUAAUUUAUAGGCUAGAUAGAAAAAUACAAAACAUAAAAACCCUAAUUUGAAUAUUAAUUAGUUUAAAACUCUAGACUAACAAAUCUAGACUGGCUCCUAAUUUUUUGCCUAUUGCCUCAUAUCAAAUUGUUGUAUGUCACAGGUUAGUACAUAUUUAUCUUUACAAUUUGGAUUUUUUAUGAGUCAAAAAAUUCAAGUUAAAUUGUGGUGUAAGUUGAUAAAUCAAAGCGUUCAUCCUCUGGGUUUACUUGUAAAAUUAUUUUAUGGAAAAAUGUGCGAUUGAAAAUGAGUAUUGAAAAAUGAGUUUUUGAAAAAAUUGAGCCAAAUUGGUUUAUCUUAAGUUCAUGGUUCUCUUUUGAAAUAUAUAUUAUUUUUUUCUUUUCUAUUCAAAAAGGGUGAGUUCAAUAUGCCAACUGUAAUUUCUUAACAUUAUAUAUGUAUUUAAUUAGUAUUUUUUUGUCAAUUCAUUUUAAAAGUAGAAGAAUUUAAGCAUUGUUCAUAAUUAAAUUAUAGGUUUUAGCAUGCCCCACUUAUGGAUUGAAUAAGAUUUAUGCAUUGUUUGAUUCCCAUUUUUUUAAAAUACAUUUUUCUUUCUCGUCUUUUCAACUACACAUUAUUCAUUAAAAUGAUAUUACACAUAAGUUAUUUCUUAUUUUUCAACCACAUAUUUUCCAUUGAAUUGACUAUUCUAAAAUUUAUUUUUUCAUAAACAUGGGGCUCCAUCACCCUCUUAUUAAGAAAAGUACUUUUUUCUCAAAUUGUAAUUUAAUUUUUGAUGCUUUAAUUUUCUUCUCUUUUCAUAGUUUUUAGUUUUCACUAUUUUGCUUCUUGAAGAUUUAUUAGCUGAAUUUUCUCAAUGCACAAAUACUUUCGAACAGUAUCGUGUAAUGUAUAAGUACUGAAAGGGACUAUAUGAAAAUGCCUAUAUAUAUAUAUAUAUAUAUAUAUAUAUAUAUAUAUAUCAUGGGUUUGAGUUUGGUUCUAUGAAUUACAAUUACCCGAAUUGUUCUAUUUACGAAAUACCCGAAGUAUAAUAGGUGAUUCUAGGUUAAAAUAUCCAGAUCGAUCCACCCGAAACCAAAGCCUUGUUAGAAUUGUCUAGUAUUCCAAUAAUUGUCUCGAAAAUGAGUAUUCUCUUGAAAAAUUUUCAUAAAAGGUAAGUCAUUUAUAUAUAUAUAAAUGUGUGUGUGUGUGUGUGUCUCCUAGACAUAAUUCAUUACUUCUAUUAGGAACAUGGAUAACAUAGAAAAGGUCAAGCCUUCUUUUAGAACAGCUCUAGUCAAAUGUUAUAUAUGCCCUUUUUGUAUGACAUCACGACACUCUACUGAAAAACAGGGGAAAAGGAAUAAAAUCACUUAGCCAAGCUUAAAAAUAGGAGAGUGAAGAGACAGGCUGAUGUAUUAGAAAAUGAUUGGGUGUUUUUGUUUUAAUUUUUCAAAUUAUUCAAUCAUGCGUCGACACAUGUUCCAUUUGGAUUUGAGACUGAAUGUGCAACAUUAUUGGGGAAAAAAGGGUAUUGUUGUAACAAUUUUGAGACUAAGUAAUUAAAUCCAUGAAGAACAUGAGCUAGGAAGCACCUUCAAGUUCUUGAGUGCAAAGAAGAGAGUGAGUUAUAAGUGACGAGGUUUUUUUUACUCAAAAUACAACAGUGCCUUAUACAUUCAGAAAAUUGAACUAAAUAUCAACAAACAUCAUUUGAGUUCACUGUGAUUCGGUGAAAAACGAAAAUAGGCGAGCUUUAGAAGAGAAACCGCAUUCCCUUAGCCCAUGUCAUCUAGAACAACUAGUCCAAACAAAGAAGAACAAGAUCGAGUUAUAAACUUUGUGAUAGAACUUCUCCAAUGUAUUUCAUAUGAUUGAAUAUGAAAAUUGCUUUAUUAUAUUUCAAUGUAUCAUCAUUUGCUAUAUCUUAAUUUGGUAGAUUUUCACUCUUACAAUUGAUUCGUCACUCAUCACCACGCGAUUGCAUUUUCGAUUGUCUAGAAAGUAAUAAUAUUAUUCGUAUAGAAAUUUGCAAGCUUACUUUUUCUAAAUAAUGGAGACAAUAAGAAAAAAACGACAAUGAAAAGCUAGAAGCCACAAAGAGGUCGAAAUGCCAUAUUCGCCACUUAAUGAUCAAUGAUUUCGAAGGAACUAGAUCUACCUGUUUUUUAUUUCCAUUCAACAGCUUUUAAGUCGCCAAUCCAUAUGUAUUAAUGAUAAUACCCAAACAACUACCAUUCAAUAGAGGUGAAUAUGAAUAUCAGAAAAUACGGUUGACUUUCUUCCAUUGCCUUGUAAUAAAAUAAUGUUUAUUUAAGGAUAAGAGAAAUUAAACAUGAGAACUCAACAGCGAAAAAAAUAAAUAUCCACAAAACACGUCUAGGAAAUAUUUGCUUGGAGAUUAUUCAAACAUGGAAAACUUGGAAUUCGCAAUUGUGAUCCCCCCAUCAACAAAAAGGUUGUGUCCAUGAACGCACUUCGACUCAUCGCUAGCCAAGAACAGAACAGCGUCAGCCACAUCCUCUGGCUUAAGUGAAACACCUUUGAGGAUAGAAUAUACAUUUCCGAAUCCCUCAUCAUCCAUUUUGUAGAAAUCCUUCGACUGCUGUGUGGGAACUACGUGUGGUGACACACAGUUUACGCGAAUGCCAUGUUUUCCAAGCUCCACAGCCAAAUUCUUCGUCAGUCCCACCACUUUUACUGUAUAAUAUAAUAAAAUAUAUAUAUCAAGCAAAGAUAAAAAAAACAUCGUUUUUGCUCCACCACUUAAAAAAAAAAAAAAAAAUCUAGUGCAGUGAGACAAAAUGGCACAAGUCAUUGUUGAUUUCUACAAUAACUUCACAUUCUUUUUUUUAUAUAGUAGGGAUAUGCCUCCUAGACAUAAUACGUUACUUCUAUUAGGAACAUGGAUAACAUAGAAAAGGUCAAGCCAUCUUUUCAAAUGUUAUAUAUGUCCUUUUUGCACGACAUCACGACAUUGUGCCGAAAAUCAAGGGAAAAGGAAUAAAAUCACUUAGCCAAGCUUAAAAAUAGGGGAGUAAAGAGACAAAUUGAUGUAUUAGAAAAUGAUUUGAUGUUUUUGUUUAAUUUUUCAAACUGUUCAAUCAUGCGUCGACACAUAUCCCAUCUAAAUUUGAGCCUGGAUGUGUAACAUUAUCGGGGAAAAAGGGUAUUGUUUUAAUAAUUUUGAGACUAAGUAAUUAAAUCCAUGAAGAACAUGAGCUAGGCAGCACCUUCAAGUUCUUGAGUGCAAAGAAGAAAGUGAGUUAUAAGUGACGAGGUUUUUUUUAUCCAAACUACAACAGUGCCUUAUACAUUCAGAAAAUUGAACUAAAUAUCAGCAAACAUCAUUUGAGUUCGCUGUGAUUCGGUGAAAAACGAAAAUAGGCGAGCUUUAGAUGAAAAACGGCAUUCCCUUAGCCCAUGUCAUCUGGAACAACUAGUCCAAACAAAGAAGAACAAGAUCGAGUUAUAAACUUUGUGAUAGAACUUCUCCAAUGUAUUUCAUAUGAUUGAAUAUGCAAAUUGCUUUAUUAUAUUCCAAUGUAUCGUCAUUUGAUAUAUCUUAAUUUUCACUCUUACAAUUGAUUCGUCACUCAUCACCACGCAAUUGCAUUUUCGAUUGUCUAGACAGUAAUAAUAUUAUUCGUAUAGAAAUUUGCAAGCUUACUUUUUCUAAAUAAUGGAGAAAAUAAGAAAAAGACGACAAUGAAAAGCUAGAAGCCACAAAGAGGUCGACAUGCCAUAUUCGCCACUUAAUGAUCAAUGAUUUCGAAGGAACUAGAUCUACCUGUUUUUUAUUUCCAUUCAACAGCUUUUAAGUCGCCAAUCCAUAUGUAUUAAUGAUAAUACCCAAACAACUACCAUUCAAUAGAGGUGAAUAUGAAUAUCAGAAAAUACAGUUGACUUUCUUCCAUUACCUUGUAAUAAAAUAAAGUUUAUUUAAGGAUAAGAGAAAUUAAACAUGAGAACUCAACAGCGAAAAAAAUAAAUAUCCACAAAACACGUCUAGGAAAUAUUUGCUUGGAGAUUAUUCAAACAUGGAAAACUUGGAAUUCGCAAUUGUGAUCCCCCCAUCAACAAAAAGGUUGUGUCCAUGAACACACUUCGACUCAUCGCUAGCCAAGAACAGAACAGCGUCAGCCACAUCCUCUGGCUUAAGUGAAACACCUUUGAGGAUAGAAUAUACAUUUCCGAAUUCCUCAUCAUCCAUUUUGUAGAAAUCCUUCGACUGUUGUGUAGGAACUACGUGUGGUGACACACAGUUUACGCGAAUGCCAUGUUUUCCAAGCUCCACAGCCAAAUUCUUCGUCAGUCCCACCACCCCAUGUUUUGAACUUACGUAAUUGUGUGAAGAACCACCGCCUAUUUUCGAGCAAGUACUCGCUGUUGUGAUUAUGUUCCCACUGCGAUUCGGGAUCAUUACUCGAGCAGCGUGUUUAGCACACAAGAACGGACCUACGAGGUUUACAUUAAUAAUCUUUUCGAACUCUGAUUUUUCGAUUUCAAGAAUGCUUGGAUUUGGUAUCCCCCCAAUACCAGCAUUAUUAUGCAGAAUGUCUAAUUUCCCAAAUUUGGCAACAGCUGUGUCAAUUGCAGUUUCUACAUCGGAUUCCUUAGUCACAUCACAGUGGACAAAAAUGGCUGAUGAUUUUCCCAGUUCCUUGCAUAAUUUCUCUCCCAAUUCAUCAUUGAUGUCUGCAACCAGAACUUUAGCACCAUGUUUGACGAACAGUCUGGCAGUCGCCUCGCCGAUUCCAGUAGCAGCACCGGUGAUUAAUGCUACCUUCCCUUCCAGCCUAGGUUCAUACAUUUUGUUAGUACANNNNNNNNNNNNNNNUGACUUUUGGAUAAUUGUUCUCUCUGUCCUCGUCAUAUCCAUUGCAACUAGGCAUUUAUUUAUUCCUAACUAAUCUGAUUUUUCAGACUUCCCACGUCAUUUCCAAAUCACGUAGGCAUUUAUCUCUGACUAAUCUUAUUUUUCAGAUAAUUGUCAUCUAUCUCCACGUCAUUUCCAACGCAAGAUCUGAUUUUACAGAUAAUUAAUGUCUGUUUCCAAGUCAUUUCCAACGUAAUUGUGUCCAAAAUAAUUGAAUUAUGGCAAUACUUCAAAGAAUGAUAGCACCCUGAUUGACUUUAUUUUGUUUGGUCUAAAUAUUUAAAUAUUGUAGAAGAUUAAAAGACAUUAAGGGGAAAAAUACGUAAAUAUAAUACUUUGAAGGACAAUGCUACAUUUACAUACACAUUUUUACCAAAUCUUUUAUCUACACUCACAAUAGGAGGACGGGUCCCAUAAGCCGGAAUUUUUAAAUGUACGUGGGUCCCGCGCGCAUGUGAGUGUAGGGCACCAAUUCGGUAACCCAUUUUCGGUACAUAUAUAUUUAUCCUACUUUAAGUAUACAUUUUCACACUUAACAAACUCAUAGAAUUUUUUUAUAAAUGAGGUGCUAAAUAAUAAUAUUAUAUACAGUAUUCUAACUGAAAUUUAGAUAAACUAUAGUUUAAAUUAGAAUAAUUUGAUAAACAUUAUCACAUCGUAAUAUGUAGCGUAUAUUCCUCCGUCCUAUUUAUGUAGGCUAACUUCCUUUAUUUUCUUGUCCCAGUAAUAUAGUCUUUUUUUUUUUAAUGAAAAUGUUUUUUCUUUUUCAAUAAUAUUAAAUAAAAUUAUUUAAUCCAUGCGAAAAAAUAAAACCAAUCUAUAUAAAUAGAACAGAUGAAGUAUAUCGUUAAUAUAACAGAUCCUCUCACCUCGCAUUCUCUCUCUCCUCGCAUUUUCUCCUUCUUACAACGAAUAACUCGUGACUCACCAAAAAAAUCUUUUACGCAUAACACUUUUUCAUUCUCUAUGUUAUUUCACGCUUUUUUGAAUAAAUGUUAUUUGUACAUAAUGGAGUUAAAUAAUGAUUUACAUAUAGAUAAUGUGUAAAUAAGAGAGUGGAGAAUUUUUUUUUCGAUUAUGUUAUAUGUACAUAAUAAUUUAUAUAAACAUGAUACAAGAAACGAUUGGAUCAGAUAUUAUUUAACACCACACAUGAAAAUAUAAGUUUAAGAUCUGAUUUUUGAAAGGUAUAGAUAAAAUGUAGGGAUUUGCUUAAUUUUCCAGAAAAAUAUUCGUACAAGUCAAGUCAAGUUAUUAUAAUUCAAAAUAAUAUAUUUAAAAAAUAUUAAAUUUAAGUUUUAAGAUAAUUAGCAUAAGAUAAUAAUUGUUAUAUUACAAACGAUUAGGUUUAUCUACAUUAUGUGAUUAAUCAUAUCUUAAUUGUACUAUGUUGGUUAACCAAUUCUGUUUUCUUGGCCUUCCACCCCCUUUUCUUUUCGUUCCUUGGAUGUAGUUCCAGUUUAUACUCUUUUUGCUCAUUCAUGAGUCGUAUUUAAUACCUCUAAAAAUUAAGUCUAAUGGUGUUGUGCUAGGCAAAGCUAAAAGAUCCACGAAUCGUUAACUUCUUUUCCUAGAAAAGAAGCGACGACAAUGAAUGGAAAAUAAGCAUCGGCUAUUGGACUAUUCAUAGCACAGUCCAUACAGCAAUUCAUGACUCGUGGCAACUGAUGAGGUUUAUGUGGAGGAACAGGCAUUGGCAUACAUGGAACGGUUGGAUAGUCGGCUUUCAAAGAAAUUGAUGUAACUUUUGCGUUUGGUGUCCGUUUUGGCCCCAUAACCUCAUUUCGGAAAGGUAGCGAGCGUUUCGGAUUGAACUCACAAUUUCGCCGUGACGUACGAGGGUUUUUGGGCAUUUGAAGUCGUUUAGUGUGUCAAAACAGCAUUUUAAGUUUUUGUGUUAUUUAUUUUCAGCAUUUGUUAUUUCCAUUUUAUAGCUCAGCCCAUUUUGGGACUGCUGGCCCAGUAGGUUAUCUUUUCUUUCAUAUUUAAGACGCUGCAAGACGUCUCCUAGGUUUUUCUUGGUUGUUCACGAAAUAAUAAAAGUUUGUUUCUGAAUUCAAUCCGUUUGGUUAUUGUUGUCGUGUGUUUGUAGAUUCAAUCUACAUCAUUUUGGUAUUAGAGCAUGGUGCGUGGGAGAGGACGUGGUGGUCGUGGUGGCCAGAUUGAUGAAGUUGCAGAUCUGCGUAAUCAAGUUGAGGCGUUGACAAUCCGAUUUGAUCAAUUCAUGACGUGGGCGGUAGAGGUUGUGCAGAACGGAACACCUCCUGCUCCUCCACGUCGUGCCCUAGUGAGUGAUGGUGGAGGUGGAUCUGAAUCAGGGGAGAGGUCGGAUGAGGAGAUCUUGUCAGAGGCACGUGGCGAUCGUGUUCAACAGCCUCGUGUGCAACAGCAGGACGAGUUUCUGCGAUGGGAAUCCGGAUUCAAGGUUGAUAUACCUGAAUUUCACGGUGGAAUUGAGGCCAAUGAAUUCCUCGAUUGGCUGGCGGCAGUAGAGGAGAUCUUGGAUUACAAAGAAGUGCCCGACAAUAAAAGGGUACCUUUGGUGGCGACCCGUCUGCGUGGUCGUGCUGCUGCGUGGUGGCAGCAACUGAAGCAAAACCGGAUACGUCAGGGUAAGGCGAAAAUCCAGUCGUCGAAAAAAAUGAAGAAACAAUUGAAGGCAGUGUUUCUUCCCUUUAAUUAUUCCAGGACUUUGUAUCAGCGUUUACAGAAUUUGAGACAAGGCAAUCGAUCUUUAGAUGCUUAUUCCACAGAGUUUUACCAACUGAUAGCGCGAAAUGAUUUGGGAGAAUCAGAAGACCAGUUGGUAGCGCGCUAUAUUGGUGGACUACAAUUGAAUUUGCAAGACGUCCUAAAUAUGUUCUCGCCGGUAUCUGUUUCUGAGGCUCACCAGCGAGCACUUCAGGCUGAAAAUCAACAACAACGUCGUUCUGUAAUAGGCAUUUCUGGUGGUCCAUCUGGAGGUGGGGGUCGACAAUUCGCCCCAAAUCCCACAUCUGGUCCGUCCCAAUCCUUUACAUCUGGGGGUCCGGGCGUUGAUCGGAACACUCGGCCAGUGGUUCCUCCAAUCGUUAAUCCGGGUGGUUGGGCUCCUCCUGGUGGACGAGGGCGUGGAAGUCAGUGUUUUGGUUGUGGUGGUUUUGGUCAUUUGAAGAAGGACUAUCCAUCUCAUGGGCAGCCACGCCCAGGUUUGUUCAUUGGAGGGACAACACAAGUUGAUAUUAACGAUCCUGUUCAUGUGGAGAAUGAAGAAGAAGAGGCUGAAAUUGUGCAUACAGGUGACACGGGGCCUCUUUUGGUGGUUCGACGGGCGUGCCUUACGCCUAAGGGGUCGUCUGAGGACCUGCAGCGAAACAAUAUCUUUCUGUCUACGUGUACCAUUGGAGGAAAGAUGUGUAGGUUCAUCAUUGAUUCGGGCAGUUGCGAAAAUGUGAUAUCUGAAGCGGCCGUGCAGAAGCUGUUGUUAAGCACCGAACCUCAUCCUGCUCCCUAUAGCCUAGCAUGGUUGAGACAAGGUAAUGACAUUCGUGUUACUAGCUAUGUGUUGGUAUCUUUUUCUAUUGGCAGUGUGUAUCAUGAUAGUGUUUGGUGUGAUGUGGUGCCGAUGGAUGCGUGUCAUUUGUUGUUGGGUCGUCCAUGGCAGUUUGAUAGGGAUGUGUGCCAUGAAGGGCGUCGAAAUGCAUAUACAUUCACCUUUUCGAGUAAAAAGAUUGUACUACUACCCCCCAAAGAUACGCAGUGUCUGUCUUCGACAGGGGACAGUAGUAAUCUACUUUUCCGAUCUUUGUUUGUGCAUGAGAUGCUGGCAGAAGGUGUUGUACUGUUUUUAGUGGGAACUGAGGCGACAGGAGUGUCGACAGUUCCUAUGGCAGUCGAGGGGAUGGGUCUUCACCCCAAAGCUGCUGCCUUGGUGUCUGAGUUUCAUGAUGUGUUUCCGGAUGACCUUCCACAGGGUCUUCCACCGUUGCGGGAUAUGCAACAUCACAUUGAUUUGGUACCGGGUGUGUCAUUGCCUAAUCGCCCACAUUAUCGAAUGAGCCCAGUGGAACAUGAGGAGUUGAGGAGACAAGUAGAGGAGUUGGUGCAGAAGGGGUACAUCUGAGAGAGCCUCAGCUCGUGUCUAGUCCCCGCACUCCUAGUGCCUAAAAAAGAUGGGAGUUAUCAGAUGUAUAUAGAUAGCAGGGCCAUCAACAAAAAAACAGUUCGUUAUCGCUUUUCGAUACCGAGGUUAGAUGACUUGCUUGAUCAGUUGGCCGGUGCAACUGUGUUUACCAAACUGGACUUGAAAAGUGGUUACCAUCAAAUAAGAGUCUGUCCUGGUGAUGAGUGGAAGACGGCAUUUAAGACAUGGGAGGGAUUAUUUGAGUGGCUAGUUAUGCCGUUUGGACUAUCCAAUGCACCAAGCACGUUCAUGCGGGUGAUGAACCAAGCACUUCGACCAUUUAUUGGUAAGUGCGUUGUUGUAUACUUCGAUGACAUAUUGGUGUACAGUGGGUCGGAGGAGUCUCAUGGUGUGCAUCUAAGGAAAGUCCUUACUGUUUUACUCAAGGAGAAGUUCUUUGCAGCCACUAAGAAGUGCGUGUUCUAUACCGAUAGUGUUUUGUUUUUGGGGUAUGUUGUGUCAGCCGGUGGGGUAACGGUGGAUGCAGCUUAAGGUUGAUGCGAUUCGGCAGUGACCGCGUCUACAGUCAGUUUCUGAUGUGCGGAGUUUCCAGGGUUUAGCGUCGUUUUAUUGACGAUUUAUUCAGCACCAUCAUGUCUCCCAUUGCUGAUUGCAUGAAGGAGAGUAAGUUUCAGUGGACACCUGAGGCUGAGAAAGCGUUUUUGAUCAUUAAGGAGCGUCUGACUUCAGCCCCGAUACUUGCGUUGCCUGAUUUCACAAAACCUUUUGCAUUACAUUGUAAUGCCUCUAAAUUGGGUAUCGGAGCUGUCCUCGGUCAGGAAGGAAAACCAGUAGCUUAUUUCAGUCAGAAGUUGGUAGGGGCUCGUGGGAGGUAUAGCACUUACGACGCAGAGCUUUAUGCUGUUGUUCAGGCCAUUCGCCAUUGGCGACAUUAUCUGUUUCAGCGAGAAUUUGUCUUAUACAGUGAUCAUGAAGCCCUCAAGCAUUUGUCAAGCCAGGAGUCUGUAUCUGCCCGUCAUGCAUCAUGGGUUGCCUUUUUGCAGCAGUUCAACUUUAUCAUUAAACAUCAGGCUGGUUCUUCUAAUCGUGUGGUAGAUGCGCUCAGUCGGCGGCAUGGGUUAUUAGCGCGGCUACAGGUAGCGGUCACCGGGUUUGAGACGUUUGUCUCUCUUUAUGCUGAUGACCCUUAUUUUGGCCCCAUCUAUCACAGUUUACUGCAGGGACCCCAUUCUUCUUUUCUGUUAGAGGAUGGGUAUGUGUUUAGAGGUGUUCAGUUGUGUAUACCAGAUUGCAGCUUUCGUCUGAAAUUGAUUGAGGAGUUUCAUGGUGAAAGUCAUAUUGGGCGAGAUCGUACUUUGGCUUUGAUUAGCACUUCAUUUUUCUGGCCUACUAUGAAUCGUGAAGUGGAGAAGUUUGUCUCACGAUGUAGGGUGUGCCACGUGGAAAAGGGGAAAGCCACAAACGCUGGUCUUUAUCGACCCUUACCAGUGCCUUCAGCUUCAUGGACUGAUAUUAGCAUGGAUUACCGCGCACACAACGUGGUAAUGAUUCCAUCUUUGUGGUGGUAGAUCGUUUUUCUAAAAUGGUGCACUUCAUUCACUGCAAGCGCACCACUGAUGUUGUCAAGGUUUCUCAGCUGUUGUUCAGAGAGAUUUAUCGGUUGCAUGGGUUGCCCACUUCCAUCGUGUCUGACAGAGACACGAGGUUCAUCGGUCACUUUUGGCGGAGUUCAUGGAAGUCAGUUAACACGUCGCUCAAUUUUAGUAGUGCUUAUCACCCUCAAACUGAUAGGCAAACAGAGGUAGUUAAUCGUUCUUUGAGUGACUUGUUGCGAUGCUUGGUUGGGGAUAAUCUACGCUCAUGGGAUCAGCGGCUUAGCGAGGCAGAGUUUGCGUAUAAUCAUGCUAGAAAUAGAAGCACCGAUUUCAGUCCGUUCUAGGUUGUGUAUAGUAUUCUGCCCCGCAGCCCUGUUGAUUUAUUGACUCUACCCUCUAAAACUCGGCUGCAUGGGACAACUGUUGACUUUGUUCAUAGUUUGCAACAAGUUCACGAGGAAACAUGAGCUAAUCUGCUAGAGUCCAACCGUAAGUAUAAAGAGGCGGCUGAUCGGCAUUGACGUCCUGUUGAGUUUGACGUUGGAGAUUAUGUUUGGGCGGUACUGACUAAGGAUCUAGUGCCAUCUCAUGAGCAUUCGAAGUUAUCACCUCGUACCAUUGGUCCAGUGGAAAUUGUGGAGAAGAUCAACCCCAACGCCUAUCGCCUUUGACUUCCUUCCCAUAUACGGACUUCUGAUGUGUUUAAUGUAAAGCAUCUUUUGCCAUACCAUGGAGACAACGUGGGAGAUAGUGCUACCGGUUCUAAUUCGAGGGCGAAUCCCAUUGAUCCCGGAGAGAAUGAUGAGGUUUAUAUGGAGGAACAUGCAUUGGCAUACAUGGAAUUGUUGGAUGGUCGGCUUUCAAAGAAAUUGAUGUAACUUUUGCGUUUGGUGUCCGUUUUGGCCCCAUAACCCCAUUUCGGAAAGGUAGCGAGCGUUUCGGAUUGAACUCACCACUUUGCCCUGACGUACGAGGGUUUUUGGGCAUUUGAAGUCGUUUAGUGUGUCAAAACAGCAUUUUAAGUUUUUGUGUUAUUUAUUUUCAGCAUUUGUUAUUUCCAUUUUGUAGCCCAGUCCAUUUUGGGACUGCUGGCCCAGUAGGUUAUCUUUUCUUUCAUAUUUAAGACGCGGCAAGACGCCUCCUAGGGUUUUCUUGGUUGUUCACGAAAUAAUAAAAGUUUGUUUCUGAAUUCAAUCCGUUUGGUUAUUGAUGUCGUGUGUUUGUAGAUUCAAUCUACAUUAGCAACUUAUCAAGAAAAUGAAUACAAGAUUGAUGUUUACAAGCUGUUUUAGCAACAAAAAUUGUGAUAUUACACGACCAAGUAAUUCAAAAAAUUUUACAUUAUCAACUUUCUUUCCAAUCCAAUUAGCAACAAUAAGCGUUCCAUCACCCUCUUAUUAAGAAAAGUAAUUUUUUCUCAAAUUGCAAUUUAAUUUUUGAUGCUUUAAUUUUCUUCUCUUUUCGUAGUUUAGUUUUCACUAUUUUGCUUCUUGAAGAUUUAUUAGCAGAAUUUUCUCAAUGCACAAAUACUUUCGAGUGUAUCGUGUUAUGUAUAAGUACUGAAAGGGACUAUAUGAAAAUGCCUAUUAAAUAUAUAAAAAGAAAAAUUGUUAUGGGCAAAAUUGAACCCAAAUCAAAAUCGACAGUUCGGGUUUGGGUUUGGUUCUAUUAAUUACAAUUACCCGAAUUGUUCUAUUUACGAAAUACCCGAAGUAUAAUAGGUGGUUCUAGGUUAAAAUAUGCGGAUCAAUCCACCUGAAACCAAAGCCUUGUUAGAAUUGUUUAGUAUUCCAAUAAUUGUCUCAAAAAAUGAGUAUUUUCUUGAAAAAAUUUCAUAAAAGGUAAGUCAUUUUCAAGUGAAUAUAAUAAGCUGAUAGACAAAUCAAUGAAGAAAAUUACAUUUUAUUCUAAUGUCUGUUUAGUAUUCAAGAAAAUCAUAAAUAUAAUAAUAUCUAAGUGCUACGUGGCCAAAGUGAGAGACAAGUGUUUAUGAGGGUUUAUGUCUCAAAAAACGCAAAUCACCUCCAAAACAAUACUCAAAAACAACACGAGAAAUGAGAGGCUUCAAAUUCUGCAUAAAUGUAGGCAAAUAGAGUUUUGCUACAUGUACAACUAUUUUGAUGAUCCAUUAUACAAGUAUUCUAACUCCAACAAGAAAUGGAUAGUCUGAAAGUCUCAAGAUUUUUCUAUCAAUUUCAAAGGGCUGCAAAUAUAUCCCCCAAGACUAAAUCUUGAAGGGCCCAAAAUGAAGACUCCAAAGGAUCAAGAAAUCUCACCGUCUCCAUGUCCCAAAGGUUUAAAAACUAAAGCUACGAGAUCAAAUUUCUGUUGGGCCUGCUGACCCCACAUGGAGGUUCGCCAGUGUAGCAAACAAUUUUUUUUUUUAAUAUAUACUAGUCGUUGACACGUGCGCUGCACGAAUUUUGUAUUUAUUAUGUUUUUAUUAGUGUAGAAAUUGUAUAUGUUAAAAAAAACAGUUGUUGAAGAUUUAUUGCAUUGUUUAAAAGUCUUGAGAGUAUUUUAUUGCCUCACUAAUGCCCUAUCCAACAAGGUGAUCAUUUCAAAAGCUAAUAUUACUGCACAAAGAAAAUCACAAAAAAUAAAAUUAAAUUAAAGACAUCGUGUGUAUGUAGAACAUGACACUACAUGAUAACAGAAACAUUUGACAUACAUAAAGAUUGCAAGUUUAUAGGAGUAAUAAAUAUUUGAUCCAUUAAAUAAUAAAGCAUGCAUCGAAAAGUGAAAAUGGAUUGCAAAUAAGUUGUAAAAGGAUACAAUGCAGUAUUUAAAAAAAAAAUGGAAAACCAAUAAGCAAAUAUGCUGAGUUGGAAUGGAUAAUUCUUGCACUGUCAUUUCCGCUUCUUCUCUUGGUAGUUUAUAUACAUCGGGAUUUGAAUAUACAAUAAGUAUUGGAACAAUUGCAUUAAAUCAAAUCAGUUAUUAGAACAAAGGAUUAAGAGAGGAAAUAUAAGUAAAGCACCUACCUAACCUACCAAAAAAAUGCAAAACAUAUCCAGAUAGUUCUUUCUAGAUGGCAAAAAAUACAUCCAAAAAUAAAGUAUCCUCCUAUAUUUUAUACCAUCAUCCAAAAAAAAAAAAAAAAAAAAAAAAAAAAAAAAAACUAUCAACUCCCAAUUCUUAGGAAUUGGACAAAUGCUGAAGAAUGAAAAAAAUUAAAUGUUAACAAAUGGACAAAUCCAAUUCUCUGGAAGUGAAUGAAUCAAAAUUAAAUGCUUGAUCAUUUAAUAGUUCCAGCACAAUGUAUAUGAGGUUCAUCUAAAAGUUCCAGCCAUAUAUAGAGAUAACUUACGAACAUUUGUAUUGAAAAAACAAAACUUUGCAAAAGAAUUUUGAAUCACUCUUCCAUUAUGGCUGCACUACAAAUUCUUCAUCGAUGUCAGGUCUCCCACUCCUCGGCAAAAUGAAGAUUCAAGAUUGAAUUUUUAACAAAAAAUGAAAUUCUAAGUUAAGGUAAGAUUUCUUCUUUUACCUAUCUAAUAUUUAUAGGAACUGCAAUGCAUUUAAGCUUUCCCUCUCAUCUAGCAACUGAAGAAAGCAUAAACAAAUGAAAGUAAUUUAGAUGCAAGCUAAGCUCCAAGAAUCAAAGUUUCACAAAAAAUAAUUAAAGAAUGGAAAGAUGGCAUUAAAGCACCAUCUCUUCUGCAUUCAAACUUCACUACAAACUCUUCAUCGAUGUCAGGUCUCCCGUUCCUUGGCAAAAUGAAGAUUCAAGAUUGAAUUUUUAACAACAAAUGAAAUUCUAAGUAAAACAACUGAAGAUAAACAAAUGAAAGCAAUUUAGACACAAGUUAAGCUCCAAAAAUUACAGUUUCACAAAAAAGAGUUAAAGAAUGGAAAGAUGGCAUUAAAGCACCAUCUCUUUUGCAUUCAAACUGCACUAAAACUCUUCAUCGAUGUCAAGUCUCCUGCUUCUUGGCAAAAUGAAGAUUCAAGAUUGAAUUUUUAACAACAAAUGAAAUUCUAAGUAAAGGUAAGAUUUCUUCUUUUACCUAUCUAAUAUUUAUAGAAACUGCAGUGCAUUUCCCUCUCAUCUAGCAAUUGAAGAAAGCAUAAACAAAUGAAAGUAAUUUAGACACAAGUUACGCUCCAAGAAUUACAGUUUCACAAAAAAGAAUUAAAGAAUGGAAAGAUGGCAUUAAAACACCAUCUCUUUUGCAUGUUUGAAUUAUAUUUGAUUCCGGAACAUUAGCAUUGCCAUGAACUUUCUUGUACAAUUAAAAGAAAAUUUUUUAUUAGGUCAAAUAUGUUGAAGUAGAAAGAUUGACACAUCAUGGAAAAGUGGGAAGGUGACAAAAAAUAAAUGUUAAACUACUUUGUCGAAAUAUUGAGAAAAUAAAUAUUCCUUUAACAGCUCACACAUGUCAUAUAACAUCUAUGAAAUGGAAUGCAGUUAAGUUGUAUUUUAGUAGAUGUGGAUUUGGUUCAUUCAAUCCACCACUAAGUCUAUCGAGAGAAUUAUUAGAUAGAAAAGAAAUUUACUGCGACCAUAUAUAUAUAUAUAUAUAUCAAACUUCUCACUAAUCAUUUUCAGUAAAAGAUAUGUUAAACCUAAAGUAACGGGAAUAACGCUUGUGGCAAAGCCCUUUCCCAUCCUUCACAAUAUAUGCUUUGAAUUUUGCUAACAUGUGAGAUGAAUUAGGCGCAAAAUAGUUGGUGAAAGUGAUUUUAGAUGAAAUGAAAUGAUUAUGGAACUACCAUUGGGCCAUUGAUGUAAUUGUUGGUAGUAUGCUAAUGCGGUAAUUUCAAUUCUUUAACACGAUAAAUACUAGAAGUUUUUUUCCGAAUUCUCCAAUUGGAAUAGUCAAGUUCGCCAAAACAAUAACAAAAUUUCACAUGGAUACAAAAGUCUCCCAAAUGACUCUUCGAUAAGAUUAAAAAAGGGAACCUUCUAUCAUUAGCUUUACUCUAUACAUUGAAGUGAUCCUAAAGCUUGAUAAAAACACAAAUUAUGACUUAACAUAUAUAUUGAAUUCCCAUCAUCAUGAUUUAGAGACCGAAUUAGAGCAUGUUUGGGAUGGCUUAUACGUAAUAUUGUAAAUAUGAGAGAGAGCAAGGCAAACCUUUUUUUUCUCAUACAUAUAUUUGCACAAGGUUAUCAAAGCUACGAAAGAGAACAGAGCAACAAAAAAAGAGGAUAUAUUACAAUCUAGAAAAUUUUUGACCAUGAUGGUGAACUUCCUGCAAAGAGCAUAUUGGAAGAAGAUGAUAAAAUCCAGAACGUUACGUUAAAAUCAAGUACGAUUAGAGCUAUUAGAAAAUAUACACAGCAAACUUGAAGUUCUGUCCAUUUAUUCCCAUAUAAUUGAUGAUAAUAAGCUAGGACUAAUAAUUCCUCUUCAGUCCAUGUGUCUUUUUUAAAUGAUCGUGCCCCUUUAAGAUUAUGUGCAGCAACAGAACUUUAGAACAUAGGCUAUGUCUUAACAUUAAGUAAAAACAUCAAAGGUUUAACUAAUUAUGUAGACGAGUACAUCUCUUGCUUUAUUUAUGACGAAAAGUGUGCAAUUGUCCUUAGAAGAAUAAUAGAAUCCAAUCUUAUGCUUUUCACGUGCAAGUAAUGACCCUUCAACCUAUUUAAAUGAUGGAGUGUGUUGAAGACUAUUUAAAUGAUGUACACGUGGUAUUAUCUGACAAUAUAAGCUUUUAGAUUUAGUGUUAAAAUGGUGACUAAAUAAAACAAGAGGAAAUAAAAAAACAUAGCUUAAUUGUGAUAUAUUAUUUAAACAAAUGAUUGCCCAUAAGUAUGUUUAUUGUAGUUCUUUCUAAUAAAAGAGCCUCAAACUAUCAUUAUGAAUACGGUCAAGCCUAUCAGUCAUGUAAAGAAACAUUGAAAAAAAAAACUAUCGUAACAUGAUAACCUCAUUUCAAUAUCUAUAUAAAGAAAUAAAGAACCUUUGAUUUGCAAGAACUUCUAUAUAGAUCGAAGAACCAUGUCUACCAAUCAAUUUAAGAACCAUAUGACAUUUUAUUAUCUAAAUCAUUAUCCACACAAGGGAAUAAAUUAAGUGAUGAAACGAGGGCAUUUAGUAUACAUUUGUUUAACAGGAUAACAAACAAUUUAAUCAUUUUUCUGCAUUGUAAUUGGUCUAAUAAGAGGAUCGUGACAAGAUCCGCUAAAUUAUGAAUUGAUUUUUGUGUACAACUCUAAUCUAAGUGUAUGCCAAACACGUCCUUUAAGUUGGCAACUGGAUAGAAUUAACAAAUUCCAGUAGGAGAAAAAAAUACAAAGUAAAACUUACAUUUCUACCAUGCCUCAGUGCAUUAUAAAGGAAUUGAUGACAUCUUUAAAACAAUUUUAAUUAUAGUACUCACUCAAAAUGUCCUUUUGAGUGCUAGCUAUUGUGAAAACUUUUAUAUUUUGACGUAACUAUAACAAACCAUUUAUUAUUGAUCGAACCAUUUAUAUUCACACAUUUUACGGAACCACAAAUACUACCCACUUAUCUAUUAUUGGUUCCUAUCUAUAAUAAUUUAUUAAACGGUUUACAAGCACUUCUCAAACAGGUCAACUUUAUUUUUUACAUUGUGGAUUUGAAUAAUAUUGUGAAGUUCAGGGAGUUAACUACACAAUUCAUUUUGUUUUAGUCGUAGAUAAAUUAUUCCAAUUCGUCAAAAUCUACUACAAAUAGCAUAGAUGUAUCCAUACAAAAACAAUUCCCGAAAUUCCUUAAGGGAAGAAAUAAUUGCAGAUGAAACAUUCCAAUCAAUCAUAUUAUGAGAACCAAAACAAAAAUGUCACCACAAAAUCCAAUUGCAAUAGUUCAUGAUGCAAAUAGAAAUUGUUGUAUAAUUAAUCAGAAUCAAAUAUGAAUAGGAAAAAUGUAUCCAAUCAAAACCCAAUAACUACCGUACAAAAAAGGAAAGAGAAAAUUGCAGACAAAAUACUCAAGUUAAUUGGAGUUAAAUACGAAAAAAAGCAUCCAUAACAAACCUAAUUGUUAGAAUUCACAAGGGGAAACAUAAAAUUCCUACCAAAAUACUAAAGUUAAUCAAAAUCAACUACUAAUCACAAAGAUGUAUUGUCGUGGAAAAUGGGGAACAUGGACUCAACUGCACAAAGGGCUUUAAAAUAAUUUUGUAGGAGGUCACGGCGUGCGGCAAUGAAUAGAAAGGGGUAAAACCUUUUUAUAGUAGCAAAUUAAGUUUUACUUGCCAAAAAAUCUUUUUUUAAUUAUUCUCUCGGUCGUUCUCUUUCUUGACGAUGAAAACUUCAAACCUCUACAAAAGAAAAUAAAAACAAAAGAUUAAAAUUUUUGGGAUGAAACCUCUGGCUAAAUUAAGCGGUAUAUACGAAAAAUAGAAAAUAGAAAGUCAAGUAAUUGUGUGGGAGAAGUGCAAAGAAGAACGGUAGUUUGUGUGUGAAAAUGGAGAAAUGGGAGAGAGAAAGAAGUAUGUGAAAGAGAAGAAAGAAAUGAUAGUUGUGUGUGGGAUUGGUGUAGAAAUAAAGCGCAGCUCUGUUCAGACAUUGCAUCUACAAUAAAAUGGGAUUUGGUUACUAUUGCAUCUACAGUAACCCUUUAUUGCCCUUUUGAUUUAAUAUUAGAUUAAAAAGAAUUUUAAAUUGAAAUUUUUUUUUAUCUAUAAUGUUGUAUAAAAAAAUAAAAAAUAAGAUUUCCUCCGUGCACGGAGGCAUGCAUGGAGACAUUGUCUCCAUGCAUAGAAAAAUAUCUCCAUGCACGGAGGCUUUUAGCCUCCUCCGUGCACGGAGGUUUCUUUUUCUUUUUCUUUUUCCUUUUUGUUUGUCUUGUUUUAUUUUGUUGUCUUAUUUUGUUUUGUUUUUUACACUACAAGUAUUUUUUUUUUCAAUUUAAAAUUCCUUUCUCUUCAAAUUUAUACUUGUAACUUUUUACUUUUUAGAAAUAUUUUCUGUCUUAUUAUUAGUAUUUUUAUUUUUUAAUAAUUCCAACCAGUGGGGGUUAUGAAAAAUUGCGUGUUGGAGUAAAUUUAGAUUGCCUUUUUUACUGUAUAAUAUAAUAAAAUAUAUAUAUCUAGCAAAAACAAACGACAUUGUUUUUGCUCUCCCACUUAAAAAAAAAAUGCAACAGCGAGACAAAAUGGCAUAAGUCACUGUUGAUUUCUACAGAAACUUCACAUUCUCCUAUUUAUAUAGUAGGGAUAUGUCUCCUAGAGAUAAUACUUUACUUCUAUUACGAACGUGGAUAACAUAGAAAAGGUCAAGCCUUCUUUUACAACAGCUUCGGUCAACUGUUAUAUAUGUUCUUUUUGCACGACAUCAUGACAUUGUGCCGAAAAUCAGGGGAAAAAGAAUAAAAUCACUUAGCCAAGCUUAAAAAUAGGGGAGUGAAGAGACAAACUGAUGUAUUAGAAAAUGAUUGAAUGUUUUUGUUUUAAUUUUUCAAGCUGUUCAAUCAUGCGUCGACACAUGUCCCAUCUGAAUUUGAGCCUGGAUGUGUAACAUUAUCGGGGAAAAAAGGGUAUUGUUGUAAUAAUUUUGAGACUAAGUAAUUAAAUCCAUGAAGACCAUGAGCUAGGCAGCACCUUCAAGUUCUUGAGUGCAAAGAAGAAAGUGAGUUAUAAGUGACGAGGUUUUUUUAUCCAAAAUACAACAGUGCCUUAUAUAUUCAGAAAAUUGAACUAAAUAUCAGCAAACAUCAUUUGAGUUCGCUGUGAUUCGGUGAAAAACGAAAAUAGGCGAGCUUUAGAUGAAAAAGGGCAUUCCCUUAGCCCAUGUCAUCUGGAACAACUAGUCCAAACAAAGAAGAGCAAGAUCGAGAUAUAAACUUUGUGACCGGAAUGAGAACUACUCCAAUGUAUUUCAUAUGAUUGAAUAUGCAAAUUGCUUUAUUAUAUUCCAAUGUAGAGUCAUUUGAUAUAUCUUGAUUUGGUAGUUUUUCACUCUUACGAUUGAUUCGUCACUCAUCACCACACGAUUGCAUUUUCGAUUGUCUAGACAGUAUUAAUAUUAUUCGUAUAGAAAUUUGCAAGCUUACUUUUUCUAAAUAAUGGAGAAAAUUAGAACAAGACGGCAACAAAAAGCUAGAAGCCACAAAGAGGUUGACAUGCCAUAUUCGCCAAUUAAUGAUCAAUGAUUUCGAAGGAACUAGAUCUACCUGUUUUUUAUUUCCAUUCAACAGCUUUUAAGUCGCCAAUCCAUAUGUAUUAAUGAUAAAACCCAAACAACUACCAUUCAAUAGAGGUGAAUAUGAAUAUCAGAAAAUACGGUUGACUUUCUUCCAUUGCCUUGUAAUAAAAUAAUAUUUAUAUAAAGUUCAGAGAAAUUAAACAUGAGAACUCAACAGCGAAAAAAAUAAAUAUCCACAAAACACGUCUAGGAAAUAUUUGCUUGGAGAUUAUUCAAACAUGGAAAACUUGGAAUUCGCAAUUGUGAUCCCCCCAUCAACAAAAAGGUUGUGUCCAUGAACACACUUCGACUCAUCGCUAGCCAAGAACAGAACAGCGUCAGCCACAUCCUCUGGCUUAAGUGAAACACCUUUGAGGAUAGAAUAUACAUUUCCGAAUCCCUCAUCAUCCAUUUUGUAGAAAUCCUUCGACUGUUGUGUAGGAACUACGUGUGGUGACACACAGUUUACGCGAAUGCCAUGUUUUCCAAGCUCCACAGCCAAAUUCUUUGUCAGUCCCACCACCCCAUGUUUUGAACUUACGUAAUUGUGUGAAGAACCACCGCCUAUUUUCGAACAAGUACUCGCUGUUGUGAUUAUGUUCCCACUGCGAUUCGGGAUCAUUACUCGAGCAGCGUGUUUAGCACACAAGAACGGACCUACGAGGUUUACAUUAAUAAUCUUUUCGAAUUUUGUUAGUACAAUAUUCAUAGUCUACUGAAAACUCGUGUGAUAAUUGCCAGCCCAACUAUCAAAAUAACAUGCCUUGUACUUUGAGAAAGAAACCUCAAGAAUAAAUAGUUACAUUUUAAUUAUCAGA